rnacentral:rRNA from 1 species
UACGGUGGGCGCGCGCGUUAUCCGGAAUCACUGGGUUUAAAGGGUGCGAAGGCGGCUCGAUAAGUCAGUUGUGAAAGCCCCUUGCUUAACGAGGGAGGUGCGAUUGAUACUGUCGAGCUUGAAUGGGGAUGAGGCAGGCGGAAUGUGGCAUGUAGCGGUGAAAUGCAUAGAUAUGCCAUAGAACACCGAUUGCGAAGGCAGCCUGCUGGGCCUGUAUUGACGCUGAGUCACGAAAGCGUGGGGAGCAAACAGG